UUGAAAGUGAAACCAGUUUUUUUUUUCAUGCAGGCUCUGUCAAUCAUAGCCAGGGGAGGUGUGGCUAGGGCUGCAUAAACAGAAACAAAGAGAUUUAACUCCGAAAUGACAGUGAAUUGAGCAGUGAAAUUGCAGGGGAAUGAUCUAUACACUACAACUGCUUUAUUUAGCUAGAGUAACUUAGGUGACUAUAGUGUUCCUUUAAUGGAAGUUUCAUACAAAUAUUUGAGUUAUGAGUGCGCUAUAUAAAU